GUUUAUAUGUGUCUGUUGUAAGUCGAUUAGGCAAAUCUCUCCCAGCUGCUAUUUCAAUACGAUUAGGUUCACCUUCAAUGUGCUAGAGCAGUAUUUACAUGCACACAUUAGCUUGUCAUACUCAUCCUCCAACCCCAAAACUAAAGCCUUCUUAUUGUAACACAAGGGGAAAGGAAGGGUUUUAUACACCAUGAUCCCUAAGAUGCGCCACGUCGAAGCAGAGUGGAAGGGUGACCAACAUCUUUGUGCCCACAAGUACUGCAUAAGUGAAGCGAGGUAAAAAAUAGCCUAGGCUUAUCAUCCCCAGCCGGCAGAGUCGGAAGAGCAGCCCGUACCUCGGCAGAUUCCAAGGAAUAGUUUAGUCCAUCUACGAUUCUCCUCCAGCAAAAGACUAGGCUGGGCUUGGAUUCGACACUUGGAUCAGUCUGUUCAUCUUACUCAGCAUCUUAGUUUUCGUUCAGAUUCACCAUAUUCUAAAAUCUCAAAAUCUCAAUGUCGACUUUCUCACUUUUAGGGUUUUGUGAGUUUUAGUUUGGCAACAAGGUGCUUGAAAUGGCUACAGCGAUUAGAUCCCAAAUCAGCUCCUGAGCAGCAGCCACCAAUUGAAGGGACAUACAUUUGCUAUGGUGCUAAUUACACUACAGAUGACCUGCUUCCAAGCUUGGAAGAACAGGGAGUGCGUCAACUGUACCCAAAAGGCCCAAAUAUUGAUGCUGGGCAAGGAUCUUUGGGUGGUUGUUUGGGAUUCCGGGAAGCUCUUGGUUCUCUCUUUCUGCAACGAAAUGCACAGGAUUUUUCCUGUGACACACGGUCAACUUUCUAAUCCUGGAAACUCAAGGAAUCAGCUUGCAAGAAUGCUAGCAAUUGAUUCAAGAAGAAACAUGCAGAUUUUUGUGAAAACUCCAACUGGGAAGACCAUCACUCUCGAGGUUGAGAGCAGCGACACCAUCGAUAAUGUCAAAGCCAAGAUCCAGCCAUGUAAUAUACACUUGUUUUCAAGAUAAGGAAGGCAUCCUUCCUGAUCAACAGAGAUUUAUUUUUGCCGGUUAGCAAUUGGAAGAUGGUAGAACUCUUGCAGAUUAUAACAUCCUAACAGAGUCACUCUUCACCUGGUUUUGAGGCUGUGGGGAGGAACUAUGAUUAAGGUGAAGACUCUUACCGGGAGAGAAAUUGAGAUUGAUAUUGAACCGACUGACACCAUUAACCGAAUCAAGGAAAGUGUUGAGGAGAAAGAGGGAAUUCCUCCGGUGCAACAAAGAGUAACAGAAAGGGGACUGAUGGUUCUGGUUUUUGCUGCACAGAGAAAACUACUUCUGUCUUUUAAUUCAUAUCAGAGCGGUAGGGUUGAAUAAUUAUGGGUCUUGGGUAUUGGAGAUUGAUGAUUAGGGUUCUUGAUGGGAGAGAUUAUUAGGUGAAAGAGUGAUUGAGGAGCAAAAAAAUGCGAAAGCCUUUCAAGUAUUCAGUUUGCCAAUACUUCGAAAGACUCUUUUUAAUCUUUUCUUUUGCUCAAUCUUCAUCCAUAGUUCAUUUCUGUCUGUUGAUUACAUGGAAUGAUUCCGGGUCAUACCAAAGUUCGCUUAUUUGUCAUGAUUUUGAUGGAAAUUGGUCCCAGCUCUGGAGCACAAUGUAAAGAGACAAAAAUGUACUAGCAGUGGCUCUUUAUGUGCGAAAUGGAAUGUGCUAACAGCAGCCAUUCAAUUGCUGAUGAAGGUACUUUUGUCAAUGCUAAUAAGUCUGAAAGAUUGGGGAAAGAGGUUCCACUGAGUAAAGCUUUGAUUUGGGGAGGUAGGAGUAAGAGGAAAAUGAAAAAUGUAAUGAGAAGCAAGGCAAGAAGCAGCUCCUUAUUUGAGAAAUAGUUGCGAAUUCUGACUGUUGUAAGUGGUUGAGUAAUUCUGACUGUUGUGCCUUUAACCACAUAAAAAAGAUGGACAAUAUAAAUAAUCAUGAUAAUUAAAACAAAAGUUAAUCGCACACGUGAGCAAUGCACUUCCGCACGCACGUAAGCGUGUGUAGGAAGGCUAGUAUGCUCAUCAACUUGACAACUGUUUGGGAUAUCACCUGCAUUUUGAUUUUAAUAGCCUAAGAAGACUUGCUAUCUUAUUAAGCAGCAUGAUUGCUGCAUUGUUAUUAUUGUCUUAUUAAUAAUUUAAUAGCUUGCAUUGAGGGUGGCUCUGUCCUUCAUUUAGUGCUUGCACUACGUGGUGGUAGCCUAUAGAUUGUAUCAUAGUAUUGUAUCUAUUAAUGUUCAGGCAAACUCUUUUGUGAAGGCUUUAUCGAGUCUUGAUACUCCAAAACAUCUGAGUUGCAUGACAAGUGGGUUACUUUGGACAUAAGUAUCGGCGUUACAUAUUGCACUCUACCUUUCUGCUCUGUUAUGUUCACUGUAAUGCUCUGGUGCUUUUACAAGCUUAGCUUCA